CUGCAAAGAUCCUAUUUCCAAAUAAGGUCACUUUGCAGUAAGUAAAGCAACAGUGAGCCUGCCGGGCAGACGGGGUCCUUGAGGAGACUGAGGAGCUGCAGAGAUAGAUCAAGGCAUAGGCACAUGGGGAGAGAAAACAGGCUGGGAUAACUCGUAAUUUCCCACCCAUAAUCCUAUUUGCCAGGCCCAGCUGGAAGCCCACAUCACCUGGAAAAAGCAGCCUACAGGUGUUGAUCCCUACUGCCAAGGUUUUGCAUCGGUCUAAGGGAUUGAGUAUAUUCCCAUGGACAUCCCACACAACAGUAGCAGAGAAGUCUGGAGGCAGAAAUAUUAGAUCAGCAUAAAAGGUGCAUCUAAAGUUGCCAUGUACAAGGGGUGAGUUUAUGCCAAUAAUGAGGAAUGAAUGGAGCUGCACAAAGCGGAAUGGACUGCUACAUGAAACAAAAAAGUUCAACACUCAUUCAAUGAAUUAUGGUAUCACAGUGUAUUAAGUGAAGGGAAUGUACACGUACCCAAACAAGCUAUAAAAGACAUGAAAAUGCCAUGACAGGUGAGUACUGUCAGGAUAAGAGAGGAGUAUAAUGGAAUUAAAGGUGCUUAAGGAAGUAGAGAAACUUGUAUAGUAGGUGAGCAGGAUAC
rnacentral:lncRNA from 1 species